rnacentral:rRNA from 1 species
AUUGAACUCUGGCGGCAGGCUUAACACAUGCAAGUCGAGCGGGGGGAGGUAGCUUGCUACCUAACCUAGCGGCGGACGGGUGAGUAAUGCUUAGGAAUCUGCCUAUUAGUGGGGGACAACAUUUCGAAAGGGAUGCUAAUACCGCAUACGCCCUAAGGGGUAACUCGCUUCGAGAGGGGCCCGCGUCCGAUUAGCUAGUUGGUGAGGUAACGGCUCGCCAAGGCGACGAUCGGUAGCUGGUCUGAGAGGAUGAUCAGCCACACUGGGACUGCGACACGGCCCAGACUCCUACGGGAGGCAGCAGUGGGGAAUAUUGGACAAUGGGGGCAACCCUGAUCCAGCAAUGCCGCGUGAGUGAUGAAGGCCUUCGGGUUGUAAAGCUCUUUUGGCGGUGACGAUGAUGACGGUACCCGCAGAAUAAGCCCCGGCUAACUUCGUGCCAGCAGCCGCCGCGGUAA